UUCAUAAUAUAGAUUCUGUAGUAGUAGUAUCAAUGCCGUCCUUUGGAAGUUUGCGACUCGGCAGUUUUGCAACCUUCAUUCCACAUGUGUCGGUGAGCUUGGAAAUUCGGUGAAGUUUAGCACACGAAUAUUUGGAUCGCCUCAGAUUCUAACCAAGUUAGUAGAUGCUUCUUCUUCUGAUUUCUCAUGAUAUCUGCCAACUUCUUGCAUGAUCCCAUUCUUAGUAUGGAAUCGAAGGUGAGGGAGGCUGUAAAGGUACUACGAAGAAUAGACUUGAGGGGGUGACUUCGAUCGUGAAAGCCAGGAAUUCUGUGCUACAAUCACCACAAGAGCCUUCCACAAUAGAAAUUUGUCGCCAGACUUCCACAGAACUCUCCAAUCCAACUGGGUUUUCAAUCCCAUCACGGCCUGGAGUAUGACUUUAGGAGCCGCAGUUUGCUUAUGUCAAAAGUAUGGGGGAGGGAGUUUCGUUCACUGCACUUCAUCACCUACUGAGUAAUGAGUUGAGCAUGAUCUCGGGCCUUAUUUGGGGAGAUCCAGCCAUUCCAGGGAUGCAAUCGAUGAAGAGCUUUUGAUUGAGAAGCGUUUCAAGAACAGAAAGACUGGAAAUCCAUAUCAUCUCCAGCAAUCCAGCUGAGACAUGUCAAAGACGACCAACAUUCCGAACAACUCUCUAGUAUCAUUAAGACAAUUCCUGUAUCAAGACUUUGCUAGUUGCGAAGCAGAUUACGAGACAAAAAGUGGUGGUCUUGGUUGCAACGAGAAAAAUUCAACUUGGGUGCAAGAUUUCUUUCCCCAUGUCCUGAUUGUACAAAAUUGCAUUAUCAGAACAAUCACCUCAAAUUCCAGCUCUCCGUCCACUGCUAUGUCGCUUACAUGUGAGAAAGGAAAAUCUCAUUUUGGGUGGUUAAGGAUCAUUGGGUGCAUCAUGUCUGUCAAUUGCACUUGGGGUGCAGACUGACAACGUGGCAGCAAAGAUAUAAAUCAAAUACGUGCGAGCCAUGUUCAGCGGCGUUUCCAAGCGAACCCGGUUGACUAGUUUAGUAGAGAAAAGUUGCCAAAAGUUGCAUCUAGCUCAAAAACCAAGUGCACUUUAGGAAAUUUCUUCAUACGUUAGGCUCUCUUCUUGCGACAUGCAUGCUGUUGCUGCUUUACGAUCAAUUUAUUGUUCAGCCACAUGUGUAAGAAUAAUGCAUUGAUUGGAUUCUUUGGAUAUUAUAUGUUUAUCUUGUCACUUUGUGGUGAAUAUAUUAAGUUCACAUUCAUUGAA